UACGUAGGGUGCAAGCGUUGUCCGGAAUUAUUGGGCGUAAAGAGCUCGUAGGCGGUCUGUCGCGUCGGCUGUGAAAACCCGGAGCUCAACUCCGGGCCUGCAGUCGAUACGGGCAAACUGGAGUGUUGCAGGGGAGACUGGAAUUCCUGGUGUAGCGGUGAAAUGCGCAGAUAUCAGGAGGAACACCGGUGGCGAAGGCGGGUCUCUGGGCAACAACUGACGCUGAGGAGCGAAAGCGUGGGGAGCGAGCAGG
rnacentral:rRNA from 1 species